rnacentral:lncRNA from 1 species
AGAGCAGAUGAUAAAAGGAAACAUGUGAGAGGUCAUUAAUUUCUUACAGUAACUCCGCGAAGAGUUGAGUUAAAAUACUUUUACAAGUAUCAAGUCUUCGGUAUUUUCAUGUCAUUUCGAAUGAUGGGCCAUCCAAAUUGAUGAUCCACAUUAUUAAAUAUAAUCUAUUGUGCGUUAAUCUUCUAGUCGAAGACAUCUCAAAAUUAGUAACUUUCACCGGCAUAUGUAAAGUGCAUUUAUGACUGCUUGAUCACUAGAUAAAUAAUUUUAAAAAUUCAUGAAAUGUCGUUUUAAGAAAGUUAUGUGCUAUAGAUUAUAUUUGACACCUUCGAUCGUCGAUUUGGAUACCCUCGUCGAAUGCAAUGUUGAAGUAUGGAAAAUGUGAUGCUCCUAAAAGUUAUUCUGACUCAAUAAACCCUA